UUUUUUAAACAGAACACUCCCAAGCUCAAACAGUAUACAAGUAUAUAGUACGGCCUUUUGCAUCAGAAACGCGUCAUUUUCUCUUUCCUUUCUUCCUACUCCUCUCUCACUCCCAGCUCCACAACAAUGUGGUUACUGUAUUCUCUGUCUCUACUUCUCCUUCUCCUGCUAUUCACUUUAACAGAUCUCUCCUACUCCAUUGCUAUAAACACCUCCAUUGACUACCUCAAGCUUCCAUUGCUCCAUAGAACCCCAUUCACGUCCCCUUCUCAAGCCCUUUCUUUUGAUAUCCGCCGCCUCUCUCUACUCCACCACCAACACCAACGGCUCUCUUUCAAAUCCCCUGUAAUCUCUGGUGCUUCCUCUGGCUCUGGUCAGUACUUUGUCUCGUUACGCCUUGGUUCUCCCCCUCAGACUCUGCUCUUAGUUGCCGAUACAGGCAGCGAUCUUGUCUGGGUCAAAUGUUCCGCCUGCAAAAACUGUUCCAACUACGCCCCAGGAUCUGCAUUCCUGGCUCGCCACUCCUCCACAUUCUCCCCAAUUCACUGUUUCAACUCGCUGUGUCAAUUCGUUCCCCAACCCCGCCCCAAUCCUUGUAACCACUCUCGCUUACACAGUCCUUGUCGAUACGAGUAUUUAUACGGCGAUGGGUCAAAGACGACUGGAUUCUUCUCCAGAGAAACCACAACGUUGAACACAAGCACUGGAAGACAGAAAAGGCUGAAAAGUCUAGCAUUCGGGUGCGGGUUCCGGAUCUCGGGUCCUAGUCUUACGGGUGCGAGCUUCAAGGGCGCUCAUGGGGUAAUGGGUUUGGGUAGAGCACCCAUUUCGUUUUCUUCUCAGCUGGGUCGCCGUUUUGGCAACAAGUUCUCCUAUUGUCUCAUGGACUACACUCUCUCUCCGGCUCCCACCAGCUAUCUCAUGAUUGGCGGCAUCCAAAACAACGCGGUUUCGAAGAAGAGAAUCAUGAAAUUCACCCCAUUACAAGUAAAUCCUCAAGCACCCACAUUUUACUAUAUUGGUAUCAAGAGCGUCUCCGUUGACGGUGUAAAAUUGCCGAUUAAUUCCUCCGUUUGGUCAAUUGACGAGUUGGGUAACGGCGGUACGAUCAUUGAUUCAGGAACGACGUUGACUUUCAUAACGGAACCAGCUUACCGUGAGAUUCUAAGAGCGUUUAAACGCCAGAUUAAGUUACCAAGUGCAGCUGAGCUGACUCCGGGUUUCGAUCUUUGUGUGAAUGUGUCGGGCGUUUCAAGACCCACCAUGCCUAGAAUGAGUUUCGAACUUGAUGGUGACUCGGUGUUUUCGCCUCCAUCGAUGAACUACUUCGUCGAAACUGCUGACCGAGUUAAGUGCUUAGCGAUUCAACCCGUUAACGCAGAUGGCGAUUUCUCUGUGAUAGGGAAUCUGAUGCAACAAGGAUAUUUGUUGGAGUUCGAUAGAGACAAAUCACGGCUCGGUUUUUCACGUCGCGGCUGUGCUAUCCCCUCACAAUAAAACGGAGCGUUUUGAUUUUUGAUAUUAUUUUCAUUUUUGUUUCAAUUCCUUUUAUCCUUUUCAAUUUCUCCCUUCCUGUAUUUUCAUUCAGAUUGCUGGUUUGUAAAUUUUCAGAUCUCUGUCUCAUCAGAUGGGAUACCAUCUGGUGUGGAUGCUACAAUUGAGUCGGCAAAUGUCACUUUUGCCCUUUUUGAUGUGUUUUUUGGAGAUGCUCCAGUUUCUCCUUCAUUGAAAGCUUCGGUCGCCAAUGGGCUGGCAACAACUCUGAAGCUCACACUAUGAUUUUGGUUUCUUGAAGUUUGUCGUCUGACUGAUGCAUUUAGUUUAUUCAAGCUGAUGUAUCUUCAACGCUGUAUUUAACUUCUUGAUUACUCUAGUUUUGAUCAAUCUUGUUUAAAGUUUCAGAGCUCCAUAUCUCAUCUUCUUUAAAAUUUCUGUAUUUGUUUUUUUAAAUGAAAUCUACCCCAAAGAAAAUUUGUUAAGAUUCUGUUCAAGUACAAUCAACUUUGCUUUGAAAAGUAUCAACCCAUAAGCAAACUACUAAAAGAAUCAUUUACAGCCUUGUCUGAUUUUACUUGCUCAAGCAUCUUGACUAUCUCAGCCAUGGUAGGUCUCAUAGAGGGCUCUGGUUCAAGGCACAUAAACGCAAUUCUGAAUGUAUUAUUAAUCUCAUCGAUCGGUCCACACUUCAGGCUAUUGUCAACUACGUGCUCUUCCCUCUUAUCUUCAACAACUGCCUUGACCCAUGUCACCAGCUUAGUCCCUUCCUCAAAGAAUGCGUCAUCUGUGGGUUUCUUUCCAGUCAAAAGUUCUAAAAGAACAACUCCAAAGCUAUAAACAUCGAUCUUCUCAUUCACUUUUGUUGUAUAAGCAUACUCUGGCGCAAUAUAACCAAAAGAGCCUGCUACAGCAGACAUCGUGUGAGCCUCUCCUUGCUUAGCCAACAUUUUGGCAAGUCCAAAAUCUGCAAUUCUUGCCUGGAAUUCAGAAUCCAACAAGAUAUUACUAGAUUUGACAUCUCGAUGAAUGAUAGGUGGGGAGCAGCCAUGGUGCAUAUAACAUAGUCCUUGUGCAGCUCCAACGGCAAUCUGCAUCCUUCUAGGCCAAUCCAAGGAAACAUGAUGGACUGAGUUUGUCCCUGAUGAUGAUCUUCUGUUCUUUCCGUGAAGCCAUCUAUCCAGGCUUUGAUUCUCCAUAUACUCGUAAACAAGAAGCUUCGAGUCCUCUUUUGAAAUGCAACACAAUAACUUCACUAUAUUUGAGUGCCUAAUUGUGCCAAGGAUUUCAACCUCUGCCACAAAUUCUUUCUCUAGCUUCUCAUCUAAUUUUCUGACAUUCCAAAUCCUCUUGACAGCAACAAAUUCUCCUGCACGGUUAACAGAAAUGCGGUAUACCUGCCCUGACCCUCCACUUCCAAUCAGGUUAUUUUCUGUCAAACUCGACAAAAUGUUUGCUUGUGUGAAAUCCACUUUCUGAAAUGAGGUCAGCUUCCAUGAUGCCAUAUCACGUUUAUGCUUCUUUCUCAUAUAGUCUCUAACCGCAACCAAGGUUAAUAUGGUAGUAACUAUGAAGAUAGUUAUGGCAAGAACAAGGACCAAGACAAGAACUUUAGAGGACAGUUUGUUGGAACUUCUUCUAGGUCUUAUAUAGCAAUUUGGAAGGUUAAGAACUGGAUUAACAGCACAGAGAUUGGAAUUGUUCAGAAAGCUGUUCUCAUAAGCAAGGUUAUCAAAUUGAUCAGGGAUUUGCCCAGAAAGUUGAUUGGAGGACAAGUUGAGGGAUACAAGCUGCAGUUGGCCUAACUUGGAUGGGAUUUCCCCGGAGAAAUGGUUUUCAGAUAAGUCCAAAUCAAGCAGGUCAGGUAAAGACCCUAUCACUGCUGGGAUUUGACCUGAAAGUGCAUUUCUUGAGAGAUUUAGAGUUACCAAUGAUCUCCAGGAGAUUAUAUUGGAUGGAAGUUGGCCAGAAAGUUGAUUUCCAUCAAGCAAAAGAGUAGUAAGAUGAGACAGACUAGUCAAUUCCACUGGAAUUUCGCCUGAAAACAGAUUGUUUCUUGCAUCAAAAAAAAUCAAAUUCACCCAACUAGAAAUUCCAGUAGGAAUUGGACCAGAAAAUUUGUUAUUGCUAAUCUCCAAUCUGGACAAAUUGCAAGCCAGCGAGCUUGGAAGUUCACCCGAAAAUGAAUUAUCACUUAGCAUCAAGUAUGUCAUAUUUAUGGCUGUCCAAAUACCUGAAGGUAUCUCACCAUAAAAGUUGUUGUUGUAAAGCUGAACAGUGAGCAAAGCAUCACAUUUUCCAAGCGACUGAGGCACCUCUCCUGUGAGAUUGUUUGAAAAAGCAACAACACCUAGCAAAACACCUCCAGCACAGAGAUUUUCUGGUAGUUGGCCACUGAAAUGAUUGGUUGAAACCUCAAAAAAUUCGAGCUUCGAAUGAAGGCCUAUUUCUGGUGGCAGGACUCCGCUCAAGUUGUUGGUGAAAACCUUGAAAGUUUUCAGUGUAGAAAUGCGGCCUAUACUUGAGGGUAUUUCACCAGAUAACUUAUUGGAAUACAGAUUGAGAAGUUGCAGGUUCUUUAACUUGCCAAAGUCUUCCGGUAUCGAGCCAUUUAAGUUGUUCGUACCAAAAUCAAUUUCAACCAAAUUCAAUGCUUCCACUUUCUGGGGAAUCUCUCCAGACAAUUUAUUGUGAUACAGAUACAGUUUGGUCAGAUUCUUCAACAAAAACAACCCACCAGGAAUACUGCCCUCCAGAUUGUUUAUUGCCAAAUCCAAGUGCACAAGACUUGAAAGACUGGCAAAACUGUCCGGGAUGGGACCAAUCAAAUUGGCAUCUGUAAUCCACAUGAACGUCAACUUGCUUAGCUUACCAAACUCCACUGGAAUUUUUGAGGGCACAAACCCAUUGUAGGCCAAUCCUAAUUGAAAUAGAUUGGCCAACUUACCAAUCUCCUUAGGAAACGUCCCAUGGAACUGGUUAUUAUUCAGAUACAAGGACUGCAACUCCGUCAGGUUACCUAUCGCAGGUGGAAUGUCACCGGAGAAGUUAUUUGCCGCAAGGUUUAAGUCCUUGAGAGUUGAAAGCCAUUGAUCAAUAUCAUCAGGGAUUGGACCCACGAAAUAAUUUUGAGAAAGGUCCAAUCUUUGUAGCUUUGAGCAAUUGUACAGAACUCUUGGAAAUCCUUCGGUGAUGUAGUUGUAGGACAAGUCAAGAACGGUGAGAUUUCUGAGGUCACAGAUUGUUGCAGGGAUUGUUGCUGUGAUGUUCAUGUUACUGAGAACAAGUUCUCUAACCUUGCCGUCAGUGCAGGAAAUCCCCGUCCAAUUGCAAGGCAAGGAUGAGGAGUUCCAGGACUGGAGUAAGGUUGGAUUUCCCAGUUCUCGCUUGAGCUUCAAGAGGAUGGCCUUCUCUGUGUCGACAUUUUGUGAAAUUACAGAGGAGGGUAUAGCCGUUAGGAGCAAAAAUAAAAGGAGGUUCAGAAAUGAAAGAGGUAGUUUAGACAUUUGAAAUGGGUUGUAGUUAGUUUUGCAGGGGAUAAGAAAGAGAAAGGUAACGGCUUGCUUUGAUAUGGCGAGCAGAGGUGUGUAUAAUAUGUAUGAAGUUGGGCAAAUGGCACUGAGAUUAGCAGUAAUUAGAGACCCACCAUUGAUAAUGAUUGGAGUAGUCAACUGGUAAGUCUUCGUUCCAGCACCGAUCCACUAGUUGCUCGUAGAAAUGUGUGGACAUGCUUUCUAUACGCCCUUCUCUUGUAUGUAAAAGUAAACAUGAAAAAUCUAUGUUUAUAUUCUUCAUGUAUUUAUUUGUAAGAACAUCUUAUCUUUUAUCUUCUUCAAGCUUUUGUUAAGAUCUGGUGUGGAUCGAGUCAUUGGUUAGAAUUUAAAAGGGCAAUUGUGUAAUUGUGAGGAUGAGGAUGAGCAGUUUCACGUUGCUUUUGGUCAAAGUUGGUGUAAUGGAAAAAAGAUAAUGGAUGCAUGCUUCAUACUUUAAAUAUUCUACUAAUGCAAUCUC
rnacentral:misc_RNA from 1 species